rnacentral:tRNA from 1 species
GGAUAUAGCUCAGUUGGUAGAGUGCUUGCCUCACAUGUACAAGGCCCUGGGUUCCAUCCCCAGCACCA